rnacentral:miRNA from 1 species
GCUGCUUCUGUGACUUUAUGC